CUGUCCAGUGAGAGUCUUUGGGCUGGCAAAGCAAUAGCUGUGCUCAUCUGUUUUGGGGACAUCAAGAGGAGUGUGAGUUCAGCAGGCAUUAUUUAAAUUAACAUGCAGGAUGCCAAGGACACAACAUUCAAAGGCCACCCUCUUAAAGUUCCAGCCAACAGGCCAAGCUGGCUUCCCCUACAUUUCUGCUGUGGAGGGAAACUGAAAAUUGUUGGCACAGCAUCUGGGCGAAACCUGACUAUUUGUCCUGUCCUAUCUAAACACUCUGCAGUGAAGUGAUCAGAGCAGAGGCAGGAGUAGGCAGAUGGCCUGAAGUUUUGACUCCUGAGCUUCACAAGCCAUUCUCUCCACCUGACUGGGUCUUUUGGAAAUCUAAAGAGUUGAACACAAUAAAUAUAAAGCUACAUAAAGUUAGUUUGUUUGUUUAUCUACACAUAAAAAAUAAUGAACAUGAUUUGACAAAAGGGUUGUUGUAAGAUUAACAGCACAUCUUGGCAUCAGUUAAAAUGAACUGUAAAAGGAAACAAUAUGCUUUUUUCUAACAGUAAAAAUAAAAAAAAAUAAAAUAAUUGUCCCCACCCAUCUUUGAAUUUUUAUCAUAUUCGGUUUAAUAGUCAAUUUUUGUGUGUACUUGGAAGAAGCUGUUACUGAACA